GUCAGGAUGGCUGAGUGGUCUAAGGUGCCAGACUCAAGGUUCUGUCUUUCCCUCAGUUGGGUGUUCUGGUCUCCAAAUGGAGGCGUGGUUUCAAAUCCCACUCCUGACA
rnacentral:tRNA from 1 species